GACGAACGCUGGCGGCGUGCCUAAUACAUGCAAGUGGAACGCAUUGAUAUCACCGGAGCUUGCUCCACCGAUAUAAAUGAGUCGCGAACGGGUGAGUAACGCGUAGGUAACCUGCCUGAUAGCGGGGGAUAACUAUUGGAAACGAUAGCUAAUACCGCAUGAGAGUGUUUAACACAUGUUAGAGACUUAAAAGAUACAAUUGUAUCACUAUCAGAUGGACCUGCGUUGUAUUAGCUAGUUGGUAGGGUAGCGGCCUACCAAGGCAACGAUACAUAGCCGACCUGAGAGGGUGAUCGGCCACACUGGGACUGAGACACGGCCCAGACUCCUACGGGAGGCAGCAGUAGGGAAUCUUCGGCAAUGGACGAAAGUCUGACCGAGCAACGCCGCGUGAGUGAAGAAGGUUUUCGGAUCGUAAGCUCUGUUGUAGCGGAAGAACGCGUGUAAGAGUGGAAAGUUACACAGUGACGUACGUACCAGAAAUG
rnacentral:rRNA from 1 species